UCCUGCUUUUGCUUCUGCUUGUGCUUCUUUUUCGGUUUCUCUUUUCACUUUCAGAUCUGCGCAGGAAUGUGUUCUAGGAAACUGUUUCAUCUGCUGCUUUUUGGUAGUUCGGGAUGUUUCAGUGCAGCACUAGGCCUGGGGGAACUUAACUAUUGUUCUUAAAGAAGCAGAGAUAAAAGUCACCGGUUGAGACCCUCUAGUGUACCAAAAAAGAGUGCACAUGUUCCUUUCAGUGAAUUGUCACUGUAAACCCGCCAUUGACCCAGUACCUCACAAGCCAUAUAUCCCGUUCUCCUUGUGGAUGCUCUAAGUGUGCUCUGAGCCACUGGGAGCCUCGGCAAGUUGUUCCCUGUCUCCUUUCUUGUCAGUGAAGCCUGUGAACACUCCGCACUAGUGGGAGCCAUGCAAUUUGGAGAGAGCUAAAGGAAGGGAAAACAACAUUCCCGCGGGGUCUCCCGCCUACUGGUUCUUGGUCCUAGGGUCCCCUGAGUUUCCUGGUCCAUUUUGGCCCAGGUGGCUGACUCCUUUCUGUUCUCCCUGUAUGGUUUUGUUUCUUUUUUCUCUUUACUUUUCUCACAAGGCAAAAGGCGGAGGCUCUCGACUUGGAGGGCCGGUGUUGUGCUUGUGGUUGGUGUUUGUAGAGCCGUACUGCCAUCAAGCGGAACCUGUUUCUGGAAAUGAGAGGCAGCUGGGCACAAGUGCUGGGAAAAACGCAGGAGCACAAAAGAGAUGGCAGCAUGGAGCCCGAAGACUGAAGCUGGACGAGACUGUAACUGCUCACUGGGCCUUGGCCUGGGCUCAUUCCCAGGAUGGUACCCUGUCGCCUAAGCUAUCGUUAAGGAAGGGCAGGCAGGUUGGCCCACCAUGGGUUCCCCUAGCUGUCUCAAGGAACCGCUGGUCUAGAGUUGCUGCACACUCAGCAGCCCGAAGCGCCUUUAUUCCCCGCCAAGAUGAAAGAUCCCUGGACCCACCAUGGCUCCAGCGAAGGGCACCUCAGAACUCUUCAAAAAGAGACCAGAGUAAACGGUCCCAUUCUCUGUCGUUAGUCGCCUGUGGCUUCCCUUAUGCCCAUCUCAAAAUGGCUGCCGUGGCAGUUCCACCCUGUGGUCUGAAUGGUCUUAGGGCUACCUGGCUGCUCUGUUUCUGGGCCUCUAGAGUCGCUGCUUCUCCAAGGGGUCCCAAUGUCAGGUACACUUUGUUGAUGGGCUCUAAACCCCAGUCACGGAAAGCCUGGAUCAGGCAGAGUUCACCUAGCCUCACACAUCCUUGCUGAAUUCAGUGCCUGGCCGAAAUCAAGUAUAUCUGCAUCCUGUUUUUCAUGUUCAGAAAGAACUUCAACUGGAUGGCACUGUGGCUCUACAAAUGGCGUUCACAUCUUCUCUUCCCCCACCUUGACUUAGUUUUCACCAUUUGCUGCCAAAGGAAUGGUAGAAACACA